GAAAACGAAGCAAGGCAUUUCUACCCAAAGCCAUAAAAUGGCUAAGUAUGAAGUUAUGGCUAAGUAUGAAGUUCUAUAGAAGCGGAUUGCCAAAGAAACGAAGAAGGAACAAAGAUGGACGAGACUUCAUCAAUUCUGUCGACGGUCGGUCGAGAAAAUAUGACCUUUGCCCGAUUCAAUGCAUCUGCACUCGACAGCAUUGACACGUGACGAUAUCCAACAAUAAAAGCAGAGAAAAUCUCAAGCAAAGAUUUGGGAGAAGAUGCAAUGGACGAAAUCCAACAAGAUCCUUGUUUUUUCCAUGACUGCCACGUGUCCGACAACCAAUGAAAUGCUUGUCUCGCC
rnacentral:lncRNA from 1 species